rnacentral:rRNA from 1 species
AUUGAACGCUGGCGGCAUGCCUUACACAUGCAAGUCGAACGGUAACAGGUCUUCGGAUGCUGACGAGUGGCGAACGGGUGAGUAAUACAUCGGAACGUGCCUAGUAGUGGGGGAUAACUACUCGAAAGAGUGGCUAAUACCGCAUGAGAUCUACGGAUGAAAGCAGGGGAUCGCAAGACCUUGUGCUACUAGAGCGGCCGAUGGCAGAUUAGGUAGUUGGUGGGAUAAAAGCUUACCAAGCCGACGAUCUGUAGCUGGUCUGAGUGGACGAUCAGCCACACUGGGACUGAGACACGGCCCAGACUCCUACGGGAGGCAGCGGUGGGGAAUUUUGGACAAUGGGCGAAAGCCUGAUCCAGCAAUGCCGCGUGCAGGAUGAAGGCCUUCGGGUUGUAAACUGCUUUUGUACGGAACGAAAAGCCCCGGGUUAAUACCCUGGGGUCAUGGCGGUACCGUAAGAAUAAGCACCGGCUAACUACGUGCCAGCCGCCGCGGUAA